rnacentral:lncRNA from 1 species
ACAGGAUGGUGAUUUAUGGGCCUAGAAAGGGUGAUAAAAUCUCUGCCUUAUCUUGUUUAGGAUUUGUGCCCUUAAGAUGUUUUAUGGAUUUAUGCAAUAAAAGAAAAAAAGGGAUCAAAUUUGAUAGUUAAUCAAGUGUAAAUUGAUUUGUUUUACUUUUUAAGUUGUGUGAUUAAGUAUUUAAUUCUCUAAGUAGAUUAUGAGGUGUCAAUGUAG